CCGGUAGAGCGCGGGACUUUUAAUCCUGAGGUCGAGGGUUCAAGUCCCUCAUCGGGCG
rnacentral:tRNA from 1 species